GUAGAGUUUGAUCAUGGCUCAGAUUGAACGCUGGCGGCAGGCCUAACACAUGCAAGUCGAGCGGAUGAGAAGAGCUUGCUCUUCGAUUCAGCGGCGGACGGGUGAGUAAUGCCUAGGAAUCUGCCUGGUAGUGGGGGACAACGUUUCGAAAGGARCGCUAAUACCGCAUACGUCCUACGGGAGAAAGCAGGGGACCUUCGGGCCUUGCGCUAUCAGAUGAGCCUAGGUCGGAUUAGCUAGUUGGUGAGGUAAUGGCUCACCAAGGCGACGAUCCGUAACUGGUCUGAGAGGAUGAUCAGUCACACUGGAACUGAGACACGGUCCAGACUCCUACGGGAGGCAGCAGUGGGGAAUAUUGGACAAUGGGCGAAAGCCUGAUCCAGCCAUGCCGCGUGUGUGAAGAAGGUCUUCGGAUUGUAAAGCACUUUAAGGUGGGAGGAAGGGUUGUWGAUUAAUACUCUGCAAUUUGACGUUACCGCCAGAAUAAGCACCGGCUAACUCUGUGCCAGCAGCCGCGGUACC
rnacentral:rRNA from 1 species